rnacentral:rRNA from 1 species
CCUACGGGUGGCUGCAGUGGGGAAUAUUGCACAAUGGGCGCAAGCCUGAUGCAGCCAUGCCGCGUGUGUGAAAAAGGCCUUCGGGUUGUAAAGCACUUUCAGCGGGGAGGAAGGCGGUGAGGUUAAUAACCUCAUCGAUUGACGUUACCCGCAGAAGAAGCACCGGCUAACUCCGUGCCAGCAGCCGCGGUAAUACGGAGGGUGCAAGCGUUAAUCGGAAUUACUGGGCGUAAAGCGCACGCAGGCGGUCUGUCAAGUCGGAUGUGAAAUCCCCGGGCUCAACCUGGGAACUGCAUUCGAAACUGGCAGGCUAGAGUCUUGUAGAGGGGGGUAGAAUUCCAGGUGUAGCGGUGAAAUGCGUAGAGAUCUGGAGGAAUACCGGUGGCGAAGGCGGCCCCCUGGACAAAGACUGACGCUCAGGUGCGAAAGCGUGGGGAGCAAACAGGAUUAGAUACCCGAGUAGUC